UACAGAGGGUGCAAGCGUUAAUCGGAAUUACUGGGCGUAAAGCGUGCGUAGACGGUUAUUUAAGUCAGGUGUGAAAGCCCCGGGCUCAACCCGGGAACUGCGUCCGAUACUGGAAGGCUUGAAUCCGGGAGAGGGAUGUGGAAUUCCAGGUGUAGCGGUGAAAUGCGUAGAUAUCUGGAGGAACACCGGUGGCGAAGGCGACAUCCUGGACCGGUAUUGACGCUGAGGCGGCAAAAGCCAGGGGAGCAAACAGG
rnacentral:rRNA from 1 species